rnacentral:lncRNA from 1 species
CUCCCUUUGCUCCUGCAAACUUCAAAUCCUUCUGAAUACAAACAUCUGUGAUUUAGUGCGAUCAUUUCACCCAUUAAAAUGAUCUGAGUAGGCAAACGAACCAACUGCUUGAUGAUUGUGGUCAGCAGUCUCCAAAGUGGCCCUCCAAUGACCUACGCAUUCCUCUACUCAUGACUGUAGAUAAUCCCCUCCCAUUGAACUUGGACUGGCCCCAUGACUCACUCACAACGGACAGAAUGAAGCAGAAGUGAUCCUCCAGGAAUUCCAAAGCCAGGCUCACAAAAGCCUUGCAGCCCCUACCUUGGUCUCUUAUAGCAUUUCCUCAGGAGGGAAACAAGCUGCCAUAUGAGAAAACGGACUACUACUUCCACUUCUUCACAACAUGAGACACCCCCAUGCUGUGCACAAGACCAAGCUAGCCACACAUUGAGACCAUUGGAGAGAGAAAGAUCCAACAGCCUGCAGGUGUUCCAGCCUCAAAGCUGGACAUACAAGGAAUAGAAGCUUCAGAUGUCUCCGCAUCAGCAACUAUCUGACUGCAACCACAUGAGGUACCCCAAUAAGCAAGAACCACCCAGCUGAGUUCAUCAACCCCCAGGACACAGGAGAGGAAUGAAUCAUUGUAAUCAACGUAAUGCAUCGUUUUAAACCACCAUGUUUUGGAGUGGUUUUUAUACAUUAAUAGAUAAGCAAUGAUCACUCUGCAAACACUCCAUGUGAUGUUUUUCUCUCAUUUUAAUGAACACUGUGUUUUCCUAGAUAUUAACUCUCUAUGCCUAAAUGAUCAGUCAGCCAUGAUCUUAUUCUACUCUAUCUAUACUCGGAAUAGCAAUAACAUAUACUUUAUCUAGUAUUUCAAAAUUAUCACCUAUUAUGAUACCCAGACAAAGAAUAUUUUCUUUCUCCUUUUUUCAGGAAACAGUUGAAACCUAACUUAAUAAUGAACAUUUUUCUAAGCAACGUUCCACUCUAAAGCUCAUGGGAGUUAUAAAAUAACCCAAAACUAAGAGGGUAGAAUGGCUCACCCUUUAAAUUCUUUAUAUCUUGAAGUCUUUGAUUUAAAUCAUUAUUUUUAAAAAACUCAAAUCACACUGUGCUCUUAAUAAAGCAUUAUUAUUUCAAGGAAAAGGAUAAAACUUUCCAAAGGCAAAUGUUUAGCCGGGGUAGAGUUGUAAAAGAUUCCAAGACAUUAGUCAGGAGAUGGAUUGCUUUGCUAUUAUAAGUCUGGGUUACAAUAUCACUGGAACCAAAUUCCCGUCAGAUUAGUCUUUACUCAAAAUGAAUGUUUGUAAUUAUGAAAUGAAAUAAGUUUUAAUUUGAAUUGCCUAAAAAGGGGAAACCAAAUAUUGUGUAAUUACAGGAGAAGAAAUUUGAGAUGGAAAACAAGAUAGUGUUAUUUACAAGUAAAAAGGCUUUUAUGGGAUUAUGGGGCUUUAAUGUGCAUAUUUGUAGGAUUUGGGGUGGCAGAAUUUGGAACUCAAAUAUUUUUCAUUAGCGUUUAUUUACAGUGCGCAUGCAAGAAAUGGAAUCCCAGACACAUCUGAUAUUGGUCUUAUUUAAACCUUUUAUAUCCCUACUAAAUCUGAAAAGACUCAAUGUUAGCCACACAUAAUGGAGGUAAUCAUGGAGUGUGAUAAAAUAAGUAUUUGAAAACCACAUGCAACUUUUAGGCUCAAAUCCAGAACUAUAAAAUCCACCUAGAGACAUAAUGAGCCUGCCUCUUCUUCUUGAAGGGGUAAAAGUAGUAUGGGGGAAACAUGUCCUUAUUCUUUCCCCACAGCUUGAGACACCUGAGCAGAGCCCCCAAAUGGCUUGUAAGUACUUUAUUGCAAAGGCCGCCCACAAGCACCAUUUUGCUCCUUGGAGGGCAGCCAUUUCUUAUCCUUGGCAAAGUGUGAAUUAGAUGACUUUAUGUCUCUAUCUUGUAUUUCUCCUGUCCUGUCCUGAAGCACUACUUCUCACAUUGAGGAGUCCAGGACCGUAGGACAUAGGCUUGUCCCAGCUCUCUUUCCCGCAGCUGGACUGCACUGCUCAGCUUUGAUGUCCCUGAACCUUUUACCCCAACCUUUUCUAGGAUAAAACCUUCCUGUUAAAGAUCUCCUUUCUCUGGCAGGGACAAACUAAUUUACAGUAAAUCAUCCUUCCCAGAGGUCUCCUUGAAAGUAUGGCAAAGACAGUUCAUGGUUCACAAAAUAUUUAUGUUCCUCUUCAUAUAUUGCACAUUGUUACUAGAAAGUGCCAACCGGACAUGACAUUUCCCAGAUCCCCUUGCAGUCUGGUGUGGUCAUGUGACUGAGUUCUGGCCAAUAAAAUAUAGACAAGAGUGAUAAGUGCUGCUGUUAAGAAACCUUCCAUGCAGCUCAUGUUCCUUUCCCCAUUCAGCUGACUGGGAGAUAAUCCCCAGGUGAUCUGGCAAACCUCUCUUAACCUGAAUUCCCUGAAUUAUUUAAUGGAAGAUAGCCAUCCCAUGUAUUAAUACAUAUUUUCCCUCCCAAUGUGGUUAAAGAGCAAGAAAUGCACAUUUGGGUCUUUGUUUUUUAACUGUAGUUAUACUACCCUAAAUACUAGUUAAUCCAGAGGAAUCAUUUCCUAACCAGAGAAACUGAAUUAGGGGCAGAUUUUCAAAGGUCAAAGAAACUUCCCAUUUCCCUGCAAAAUACCUAGUUCAAAAGUUACCUAAGAAUAGAAGCAUUUUAAUAGCCCUCCAGGAAAGGUUUGUCAUCAGUCAGAGACAGAAACACUUGUACAUGGAUGCCCACAUGAGUGAGCCAGAGGCUCUGCGUUCUGGAUUUCUUCCCACCCAAAGACAUUCUUUCACCUAGUUCCUCGCUGUUCACACUACCAGUCAUUUCUGAGCCUCAGAUAAUUUCAACAAGAUUUCCCAGCAUUUCCAUUUAGAAAUUCACUUAUCAAUAAAAAUCUCUUGUCAUAAUCUUAUCAUUUGUUCAUUCUUUUGUUCAUUCAUUCAAAUAGUUAUUAAGGACCCCAAAUACUAAGCAUUGAGCUAGG